CUAGGGUUAGCCCAUUGACUCUAUCUAUAUAGAACCGCGCCCAGAGCUCGACCCGCCGCCGCUGCUAUCGCAACCCUCUCUUUAUCUAGUCGCGCCGGCGAGCGAGCUCCUCACCGCGAUGAGGGCCAAGUGGAAAAAGAAGCGGAUGAGGCGGCUCAAGAGGAAGCGUCGAAAGAUGAGGCAGAGAUCCAAGUAGACAGAUUGGCCUCGUCUGCAGUUGGUUUGCAGUUUACUGAUCAAUUCUAGGUUUCAUUAGUACAAGGAGUUGUAAUGUAUCUGAAACCAGUGCAGCCAGUGUGCCUCUGUUUUGUAAUGAAUACAAAUGAUCAUCUGAAAUUCUGAAUAUGGUUCCAAAACUUUUUUCAGAGAAUAAUCCUUGCAGGACAUGUUUGUUUUU